rnacentral:rRNA from 1 species
AAGGCUAAUCAAGCCUGGUGAUAGCUGGUUCUCCCCGAAAGCUAUUUAGGUAGCGCCUCGGACGAAUACCAUAGGGGGUAGAGCACUGUUUCGGCUAGGGGGUCAUCCCGACUUACCAAACCGAUGCAAACUCCGAAUACCUAUGAGUACUAUCCGGGAGACAGACUGCGGGUGCUAACGUCCGUAGUCAAGAGGAAAACAAUCCAGACCGCCAGCUAAGGCCCCAAAAUCAUAGUUAAGUGGGAAACGAUGUGGGAAGGCAUAGACAGCUAGGAGGUUGGCUUAGAAGCAGCCACCCUUUAAAGAAAGCGUAAUAGCUCACUAGUCGAGUCGGCCUGCGCGGAAGAUGUAACGGGGCUAAAACUAUGUGCCGAAGCUGCGGAUGUAUACUUUGUAUACGUGGUAGGGGAGCGUUCUGUAAGCCGAUGAAGGUGUGUUGAGAAGCAUGCUGGAGGUAUCAGAAGUGCGAAUGCUGACGUGAGUAACGACAAAACGGGUGAAAAACCCGUUCGCCGAAAGACCAAGGGUUCCAGUCCAACGUUAAUCGGGGCUGGGUGAGUCGACCCCUAAGGCGAGGCCGAAAGGCGUAGUCGAUGGGAAAAUGGUUAAUAUUCCAUUACUUCUGUGUAAUGCGAUGAGAGGACGGAGAAGGCUAAAUCAGCCUGGCGUUGGUUGUCCAGGUGAAAGGAUGUAGGCAUGUAUCUUAGGCAAAUCCGGGGUACUCUAUGCUGAGAUCUGAUAGCAAGCUGUACUUGUACAGCGAAGUGGUUGAUGCCAUGCUUCCAGGAAAAGUCUCUAAGCUUCAGUUACACAGGAAUCGUACCCGAAACCGACACAGGUGGUCAGGUCGAGUAGACCAAGGCGCUUGAGAGAACUCUGCUGAAGGAACUAGGCAAAAUGGUACCGUAACUUCGGGAGAAGGUACGCUGUUGUUGGUGAUGGAACUCGCUUCCUGAGCUGACGACAGCCGCAGAAACCAGGCCGCUGCAACUGUUUAUUAAAAACAUAGCACUCUGCAAACACGAAAGUGGACGUAUAGGGUGUGAUGCCUGCCCGGUGCUGGAAGGUUAAUUGAUGGGGUUAGCGUAAGCGAAGCUCUUGAUCGAAGCCCCAGUAAACGGCGGCCGUAACUAUAACGGUCCUAAGGUAGCGAAAUUCCUUGUCGGGUAAGUUCCGACCUGCACGAAUGGCAUAAUGAUGGCGGCGCUGUCUCCAGCAGAGGCUCAGUGAAAUCGAAAUCGCUGUGAAGAUGCAGUGUACCCGCGGCUAGACGGAAAGACCCCGUGAACCUUUACUGCAGCUUGACACUGAACUUUGACCUUACUUGUGUAGGAUAGGUGGGAGGCUUUGAAGCUGGAACGCUAGUUCCAGUGGAGCCGUCCUUGAAAUACCACCCUGGUAAUGUUGAGGUUCUAACUCUGUCCCGUGAUCCGGGACGAGGACCGUGUCUGGUGGGUAGUUUGACUGGGGCGGUCUCCUCCUAAAGAGUAACGGAGGAGUACGAAGGUGCGCUCAGCGUGGUCGGAAAUCACGCGUAGAGUAUAAAGGCAAAAGCGCGCUUAACUGCGAGACCCACAAGUCGAGCAGGUACGAAAGUAGGUCUUAGUGAUCCGGUGGUUCUGUAUGGAAGGGCCAUCGCUCAACGGAUAAAAGGUACUCUGGGGAUAACAGGCUGAUACCGCCCAAGAGUUCAUAUCGACGGCGGUGUUUGGCACCUCGAUGUCGGCUCAUCUCAUCCUGGGGCUGAAGCAGGUCCCAAGGGUAUGGCUGUUCGCCAUUUAAAGAGGUACGCGAGCUGGGUUUAGAACGUCGUGAGACAGUUCGGUCCCUAUCUACCGUGGGCGCUGGAAAUUUGAGAGGAUCUGCUCCUAGUACGAGAGGACCAGAGUGGACGAACCUCUGGUGUACCGGUUGUGACGCCAGUCGCAUCGCCGGGUAGCUAUGUUCGGAAGGGAUAACCGCUGAAAGCAUCUAAGCGGGAAGCCUACCUCAAGAUAAGAUUUCCCUAGGACUUUAUGUCCUCUAAAGAGCCGUUCGAGACUAGGACGUUGAUAGGUUGGAUGUGGAAGCAUAGUGAUAUGUGAAGCUGACCAAUACUAAUUGCUCGUGAGGCUUGACUA